UGGACUAUGGUGUAAUGGUAGCACAGCAGAUUUUGGUUCUGCUAGUCUCAGUUCGAAUCUGGGUAGUCCAA
rnacentral:tRNA from 1 species